rnacentral:rRNA from 1 species
AUGAACUUCCUUGAUUCCCGCACGCUGAUCUGGGCCGGCCACCAUCGACCGGGGUCGCGAUCCAUCAAUGGACCCUCCUGCUCGACCCGCCAUCGUUCCCGCCGCUUGAUCGGGGCCGCUCGACCCCGGGUCAGGGAACGCAUGGUCGACCCGCGAACCAGCCAGCUAUGUUGUUCCGGUGCUGCUGACACAGCCGCCGUCGCCGGCUCGUCGAAUCCCGCGGCGUUGCCGCUCGGCGGACGCGUGGCCAUCGUGACCUGCGCGUCGCGCGGCAUCGGACGAGCCAUCGCGGCCCACCUCUCCUCCCUCGGCGCGAGCGUCGUCCUGGGCUACGCGUCCAGCACGGCCGACGCCGACGCGCUCGCCACGGAGCUCCCACGGGCCGUGGCCGUGAGGGCCGACGUGUCCGAGGAGGCCGGCGUGCGCUCCCUCUUCGACGCCGCCGAGUCAGCCUGCCGCACAUCCUGGUGGCCAACGCCGGCGUGA